UGGCCAGACUGGAAAGGUACCAGCUGAACAGAAGUAUAAUUGGAAAUGUUUGUUCUCCACUCACAAGAGGCAGUUAGCAAACUUUUCUCUCUCAGGCUGUGGGACACCUGGAAACAAAAGAUCAUGGUGAACUGGCCACAGUCCACAGCAGUCUGCAGGGCACAUUUGUGUCUAAAAGAGGCAGUCCAACCCUGAGGAAUGCUGACCCAGGAUGUUCAUGGGAUGUUUCUUGACAGUCUGCCUCCUGAAUCUUCAAAAUCCAUUGCACAGUCUGUACUAAAAAUAAAUCUCCUAUCCCCUCUCAGAGGAAUUUUCCUGAGGGUGCACUAAGACAGCCGAAGGAGAAAGAAGGUGUGAUGUAUCUUUCCUGUGGAACACAUAAUUAAUUUUCAUCCAAGGACAAUAUGUAAAAUAAAGUACAGCACGAGAUUACAAACUGGUGUCAAUCUGAUUAGAGCUCUUUUAGAUAAAGCACCAUAAUCUACAGACUGAUUUUAUCCCAGCUAGAGACCUGGUCCAACAUGUUUCAGGCAAUUCUCUCCUUCCUCCCUUUCUCUCCUUUCCCUCCAACACUCACAUGCCCUCACUCUCUCAGUUAUAGAGCAAGUGGAGGGCUUUCAUUUUGUACGUGUACACGUAGCCAUCCUGCCAAACCGCCCGCGUCCCAUCCCCUUGGCCGUGUCCAGGCCACCAGCCCCUUGCAUCACAUCUGAAAGAAUGUCGCCUGUGAGGCAGAAAUUCCCACCAUGAGAAUCGUUCCUCUGUGUCGCACAACAAAGGCCACCGCAUUGUCUCGGUGUUAAGCGGGUGUUAAAA